rnacentral:rRNA from 1 species
CCAAUAGCGUAUAUUAAAGUUGUUGCAGUUAAAAAGCUCGUAGUUGAAUUUCGAGACCGGUUUAUUGGUCGUGCUUUUGUACGUACUGGUAUUAUUGGUUUCUCCUUUCUGACGAAUCAUAAUGCCAUUAAUUUGGUGUUUUGGGGAAUCAGGACUGUUACUUUGAAAAGAUUAGAGUGUUUAAAGCAGGCUCACGCUUGAAUACAUUAGCAUGGAAUAACGAAAUAGGACGUUUGAUUUUAUUUUGUUGGUUUCUAGGAUCGACGUAAUGAUUAAUAGGGAUAGUUGGGGGCAUUAGUAUUCAAUUGUCAGAGGUGAAAUUCUUGGAUUUAUUGAAGACUAACUACUGCGAAAGCAUUUGCCAAGGAUGUUUUCAUUAAUCAAGAACGAAAGUUAGGGGAUCGAAGACGAUCAGAUACCGUCGUAGUCUUAACCAUAAACUAUGCCGACUAGGGAUCGGAUGAUGUUAAUUUUUUAAUGACUCAUUCGGCGCCUUACG